CCUUGUACACACCGCCCGUCACACCAUGGGAGUGGGUUGCAAAAGAAGUAGGUAGCUUAACCUUCGGGAGGGCGCUUACCACUUUGUGAUUCAUGACUGGGGUGAAGUCGUAACAAGGUAACCGUAGGGGAACCUGCGGUUGGAUCACCUCCUUACCUUAAAGAAGCGUACUUUGCAGUGCUCACACAGAUUG
rnacentral:rRNA from 1 species